AUGGGAAUAGCCAAUGCAAUUCAGCUGUCUCUUCUUCCUGUUCCAUAUUUAAAGGAACAUGUACAAACAGAUGAGUAUGGGCUUUGUCAGUGUUGCAAGGCCUUAAUAGAGUUCACAAAGCCUUUUGUGGAAGAAGUCAUUGAGGACAAAGAAAACUCACUGGAGAAUGAAAAGUUAAAGGAUGAAUUACUAAAAUUCUGUUUCAAAAGCUUGAAAUGCCCUUUGCUGAAAGCACAGUUCCUCGAACAGUCUGAAGCUGGAAAUGAUCGUUUCAGAUGUUUUGGAUCUGAAAUAAUAUGCUUUUUAUCAGCAAUUGGACAUCCUUUCUCCAAAAUGAUUUUUAAUCAUGGAAGGAAAAAGAGGACUUGGGAUUACCUUGAAUUUGAGGAAGAAGAAGACAAACAGUUAGCAGACUCUAUGGCUUCUCUGGCCUAUCUAGUAUUUGUACAGGGCAUCAGUAUUGAUCAGCUUCCAAUGGUCUUAAGCCCGUUGUACCUUUUGCAGUUUAAUAUGGGGCAUAUUGAUGUCUUCUUGCAGAGAACGGAAGAGUCUGUUUUCCCCAAAGGAUUGGAUCUGCUAGAGAACGGUUUAUUGCGAAUAGAAGACAACAGUCUACUUUACCACUACUUAGAAAUCAAGAGUUUUCUUGCUGUACCUCAGGGCUUGGUUAAAGUAAUGACACUUUGCCCCAUUGAGACAUUGAGGAAAAAGAGUUUAGCUAUGCUGCAGCUGUACAUUAACAAGUUGGAUUCACAAGGCAAAUAUACGUUAUUUAGGUGCUUAUUGAAUACAAGUAAUCACUCAGGUGUCGAGGCCUUUAUUAUUCAAAAUAUCAAAAAUCAAAUUGACACAUCAUUAAAGAGAACAUAUAACAACAAAUGGUUUACAGGACCACAGCUGAUUUCCCUUCUAGAUUUGGUACUCUCUCUCCCAGAUGGUGCUGAAACAGAUUUAUUGCAAAACUCAGAUAGGAUUAUGGCUUCAUUAAAUUUAUUGAGGUACUUGGUUAUCAAAGAUAAUGAAAAUGACAAUCAAACUGGAUUAUGGACAGAACUCAGGAAGAUUGAGAAUAAUUUCCUAAAGUCUCUCCAUACAGGACUGAAUAUGUCAAAAGCACAUUAUGAAGCAGAAAUUAAAAAGAACCAAGAAAAGAGCCAAGAAGUCCAGAAGUCUGAAGACCUUUGUUCUAUAACCAUAGGUGGAGAGGAUCUCCCUAAGAUGCCUCCUGAAAUGCAACUUAAGGUCCUACAUUCAGCUCUUUUCACAUUUGAUUUGAUUGAAAGUGUCCUGGCUCGAGUAGAAGAACUCAUUGAAAUAAAAACAAAGGCUACCUCUGAAGAAAAUAUUGGGAUAAAGUGAAAGUUUUGCUUCCUAAGUAAAAACUAAUAAAAUGCUAUACCUUCCAUUAUGACUUAUUUAAUAGCUUUAUAAAAAAUUCUCUGUAAAAACUUACUGCUAGAAAAAUAAAUGACUUUUCUCAUUUA